CCGAAAGGCAGGAGUGCCUGCAAGGGAGCGCGGAGACAGGUGGUGCAUGGCUGUCGUCAGCUCGUGUCGUGAGAUGUUGGGUUAAGUCCCGCAACGAGCGCAACCCUCACCUCUUGUUGCCAUCAGGUCAUGCUGGGCACUCUGGAGGAACUGCCCCGGUCAACGGGGAGGAAGGCGGGGAUGACGUCAAGUCAUCAUGCCCCUUACGUCCUGGGCUACCCACGUGCGACUGAUGCCGGGACACAGGGAUGCCA
rnacentral:rRNA from 1 species